ensembl:rRNA 5S_rRNA 5S ribosomal RNA
GCUUACGACCAUCUCACCCUGAAUGCGCACGAUCUCGUCUGAUCUAGGAAGCUAAGCAGAGUUGAGCCUGGUUAGUACUUGGAUGGGAGACUGCCUGGGAAUACUAGGUGUUGUAGGCU